CUGUAUGCUACACUCCACCAUGGCCAUAAUCUGAUGGUAGAACAAGGCAAGUCGAGAGAACCAUUGCUAAGCUUACUUCAGGAAAACAAUCAGUGGAUGGCAGCAGCUACAUCAAACAGCAGUGCCUUGAAUUUUUGAGGUUCCCAGCUUUGAUCUGGCAUAAGGAAGUUUAGUUACAAACUCCAGCUGUGAAUUAUUCUCAAUCAGGACACUGGCGCAUCUUCCAGCUAUCAUAAGUAAAACAAAAGAAUGGUUAAGCUGAUAGCACAUGAGAUAGGGUUGUUUGUAAAGAAAGUGCAUUCAACACAAUUCUAUAGAGGAAGAAAAUAUGCAACAAGUUUUAUUCAGCUUAAGUCCACCAGCACAAAGAUUACAGGAAAUAGAAAGUGCAUUAAUAAAAGCUAGUAUUUACCAAAAAGAAAAUAUAUUAUUGAUUCAAAAUAUUUUACAGUUGAAUGAUGCAAUAACUUAUUCUGGGCACCUACUGAUUAAGAGAAAGAUCAAGAAAAUGGCUGCUUCACAAGUAAAUCUAACUUCCCAGUUAAAGUCUGAGAGUUUAGUAGAGAUCACUGAGUCCAGCAGUCUUCCUUGCUUUCUGCAUUAAUGCUCUCAGCUGGAACUGCUUGCGAGACAGAAGACGUACAUGCUUUAAAAAGACAUCUAGAUCUAUCACUCCACGCCUUAAUGCUUCCCCAAGAUAAAAGAUGGUGUCUUCAAUUGCAUUUUCCUCUGCAUAUAAGUUCAGGAUCUGCUUGUAAAGUGGUGCCGUAGGAAUGAUAACUUCAUCUAUGUCAUUAUUUUCUGAUUGACUUUCCAUUUUCUCUAAGGCGGAACUGAGCUCCUCGUCCUUCUUUUUGAGAAGUUCAAUGUUCUUGUCAACUUCAGCCACUUCUUGAUCCAGACGAGUUACCAUCUCUUCCAGUUUCUGGUGUCCUUUCUUCAGGUCCUCUUCUGUGCGCUUCAAGGCAUUGAGUUCAGCUUGAGCACGAUCCAUUUCUUCUUUCAUCCGCCAUCUCAGUUUAUCACUGACUGCUGAAAUAAGGGAAGCUCGAAUGGUGUCUUCACUGAUAGUUCCAUCUCUACUGGGUCCAACUGUAGUCACAGGGGGCUGAGAAGGAUAGUAUGGAACAUUAGUGGUAGGUGGGAAUGGAACACCAGCUGGAUAAGGAUAGCUUGGGAAGCUUGGGUUUGCAGUGCUUCCAGUUGGAUAAGGAGAUAUUCCUGGCAUGCCA
rnacentral:lncRNA from 1 species